GUUCGCUGCCGCAUAGGCAGCUCAAAAA
rnacentral:other from 1 species